UACCAAAGUGCUGCCACAUUUUGUUGAAAUCUUUUUCUUUCCUCAUUUAACCUUUUUAACUUUGUCUUGGGGCUGGCUAUUGAUGAAUUCUCGAGGAAGAAGUUGGACUUGACCGGAGCGGAGCUCGUCGAGGAGGAGUUGGCAUACUCGUGCUCUUGAAUGUGUUUGAAAGAAGUGUGUUCUUCCGCCUUAAUAGGGUUUAGCUGGAGUUUUGCAUAAAAAGCCAUUCUAUAUGAACUGUUAAUGAUCGGUAAGCUACAUCCCGAUUCCCCGGGUCUAUGUCAUCGUGCAUGUACUCGAUCGGGAUAUUUUGGAUCUUUUAUUCGGUCAUCCCUGAUUUUAGCUUCGAUAUUAACUGGGAAUAAGCAGUUUAUGUAUGUUGCUGCGAAUACUGGUGUUU